rnacentral:rRNA from 1 species
UACGUAGGGGGCAAGCGUUAAUCGGAAUUACUGGGCGUAAAGCGUGCGCAGGCGGUUAUGCAAGACAGAUGUGAAAUCCCCGGGCUCAACCUGGGAACUGCAUUUGUGACUGCAUGGCUAGAGUACGGUAGAGGGGGAUGGAAUUCCGCGUGUAGCAGUGAGAUGCGUAGAUAUGCGGAGGAACACCGAUGGCGAAGGCAAUCCCCUGGACCUGUACUGACGCUCAUGCACGAAAGCGUGGGGAGCAAACAGG